GAUGCUGUGAAUCCAGAAGCUCCCGUCCUGCUUUUCCCCCAAUCUAGUGGAGGGCUGAAGAGGAGGAAGAGAGACUGGCCAUUCCCUACAAUAAGUGUUUCUGAGAAUCAGAGAGGACCAUAUCCUUUUAAGCUUAAUCAGAUACGCUCUAGUGACGAUCACAACAAGAAGGUCCAUUACAGCAUCACUGGUCCAGGAGCAGAUCAGCCUCCCAUUGAUCUUUUCACCAUGGACAGGAAUACUGGUAAUCUGUAUGUCACACGGGAACUGGACAGAGAGGAACAGGCGCAAUACAGGCUUGUGGUUCAUACUGUGGCAGAGGGAAGUGCUGAAAAUGCAGAAGAUCCUAUGGAAAUAAUAAUCAGAGUGAUCGACCAGAAUGACAAUAAACCCGUCUUUAAUCAGUCUACAUAUGAGGCAGAGGUUCCUGAGGCCUCACCCAAAGGUAGGUCAUAUAUCAUGUAUAUCAAUCAUAUAUCAAAAAUACUUAUUAAGACAAACUAAUAAAUAUCUAAACUGCCUGUUAUAAUCAUGAUAACAUUAUGUGUGGAAAACUAGUUUACUGACUGAAUGGUAGUGGGUCAGUGCAGGGCAGCUGAAAGGCUUUGCCAGGCAACACCAGCCUGUGUGCACGGUUUCUUUCAUGCCCUGGAAAUCUUUCAUAGCUUUCUCUGUUUUAUGUUGGGUAUUUUCAUCUCAUCUAUAGAAUUUUGUGCACUAGUUGAUAUUUUCUGUACUUCAUAAGAGAACAGUAAACAUGGCAGGUAAUAUAUGGCCAUUUUUGACCUGUUGUAUAUUAGCCAGUCCCUAACAAUUGUUUGCCCUUCCAUUGUGGGAGGUAGAAUAGGUUAGAUACUUUGGAAAUUCUCUGCCCUCUGAAUCUGCUGGUAGUUCAUUUGCCAUCUCUAAGAAAGACUUCCUUUUUGCUAUUCAAUGCACAACAUUCCCUGGAUCAAAAUCAGUCAUUUUUGUUGGCCACAGUGCAGGAUCAUUGAAAGUAAUGGCGUGAUCUGUCUCUGAGCCACUAUGCUCAGACUCUCCGAUCAGACAGCAAGCCCCUGCAGCUGCACUGUCUCUGUUAUGAGUAGGGAUGGCUCUCUGUCUCCUCCUCAAACAGACGCUGUCACCCGCCGCCCCCCGCAGCAGUGACAAGAGAACUGCUACGCUGUCCUCUUUUAUUUUUAAUAUUUACUCCCAAAAUCCUUCAAGCCUUUGGUGUCAUCUUCCCUUUUUCUCUUUUCUUUUUCUUUUCGGCGGACUUCUGAAAACCUGAGAUUUUUAGUUUGAAGCAAAAUUU